GGGGUGAGCGGCGGACGGGUUAGUAACGCGUGGCAAUAUGCCCGACACUAAGGAAUAGCCUCUGGAAACGGAGAGUAAUACCUUAUACGCCCUUCGGGGGAAAGAUUUAUCGGUGACGGAUUAGCCCGCGUUAGAUUAGAUAGUUGGUGGGGUAAUGGCCUACCAAGUCUACGAUCUAUAGCUGGUUUUAGAGGAUGAUCAGCAACACUGGGACUGAGACACGGCCCAGACUCCUACGGGAGGCAGCAGUGGGGAAUCUUGGACAAUGGGCGCAAGCCUGAUCCAGCCAUGCCGCGUGAGUGAUGAAGGCCUUAGGGUCGUAAAGCUCUUUCGCCAGAGAUGAUAAUGACAGUAUCUGGUAAAGAAACCCCGGCUAACUCCGUGCCAGCAGCCGCGGUAAUACGGAGGGGGUUAGCGUUGUUCGGAAUUACUGGGCGUAAAGCGCGCGUAGGCGGAUUAGUCAGUUAGAGGUGAAAUCCCGGGGCUCAACCCCGGAACUGCCUUUAAUACUGCUAGUCUUGAGUUCGAGAGAGGUGAGUGGAAUUCCGAGUGUAGGGGUGAAAUUCGUAGAUAUUCGGAGGAACACCAGUGGCGAAGGCGGCUCACUGGCUCGAUACUGACGCUGAGGUGCGAAAGUGUGGGGAGCAAACAGGAUUAGAUACCCUGGUAGUCCACACCGUAAACGAUGAAUGCCAGUCGUCGGGUAGCAUGCUAUUCGGUGACA
rnacentral:rRNA from 1 species